GUAAUGGUGUCUUUAGACACCACACUUUCUCUUUGAAUUUUUUUGU
rfam:Picea glauca, whole genome shotgun sequence.